CAAUAGCGUAUAUUAAAGUUGUUGCAGUUAAAAAGCUCGUAGUUGGAUUUGUGGCGUACGGUGUGUUCCGGGCACUUGUUGUCUGAGUAACCUGCUGUUGCCAUCCUUGGGUGGAACCUGUGUGGCAUUAGGUUGUCGUGCAGGGGAUGCCCAUCAUUUACUGUGAAAAAAUUAGAGUGUUCAAAGCAGGCUUAUGCCGUUGAAUAUAUUAGCAUGGAAUAAUGAGAUAGGACUUUUUUGCUGUUUUGUUGGUUUGCGCAAAGAGGUAAUGAUUAAUAGGGACAGUUGGGGGUAUUCGUAUUCCAUUGUCAGAGGUGAAAUUCUUGGAUUUUUGGAAGACGAACUACUGCGAAAGCAUUUACCAAGGACGUUUUCAUUAA
rnacentral:rRNA from 1 species